GAUGAACGCUGGCGGCGUGCCUAAUACAUGCAAGUCGAGCGAACAGAUGAGGAGCUUGCUCCUCUGACGUUAGCGGCGGACGGGUGAGUAACACGUGGAUAACCUACCUAUAAGACUGGGAUAACUUCGGGAAACCGGAGCUAAUACCGGAUAAUAUAUUGAACCGCAUGGUUCAAUAGUGAAAGACGGUUUUGCUGUCACUUAUAGAUGGAUCCGCGCCGCAUUAGCUAGUUGGUAAGGUAACGGCUUACCAAGGCAACGAUGCGUAGCCGACCCGAGAGAGUAAUCGACCACACUGGAACUGAGACACAGUACACGCUCCGACAGGAGGCAGCAGUAGGGAAUCCACCAGCAUACGCGGAAGCAUGACGGAGCCUCGCCGCGUGAGUGAUGAAGGUCUUAGGAUCGUAAAACUCUGUUAUUAGGGACGACCAAAUGUGUAAGUAACUAUGCACGUCUUGACGGUACCUAAGCAGAAAGCAACGGCUAACUACGUG
rnacentral:rRNA from 1 species